rnacentral:rRNA from 1 species
AAAGUCGUAACAAGGUUUCCGUAGGUGAACCUGCGGAAGGAUCAUUAUUGAAAUAAAACUCAGGCAGGGGGGAGUGUGGUUGUAGCUGGUCCCCUAAUAAGGGCAUGUGCACACUGUCUCUUUCUCUUGUUUGUUUUUUCAUUCUUUCCACUUGUGCACUGCUUGUAGGCAGCCUGGCAUUGUUCGGGUUGUCUAUGAUUUUAUUUUACAUACAUGAAUCAUUGUUGUACAGAAUGUGAUAAAAAAAAUAAUAAUACAACUUUCAACAACGGAUCUCUUGGCUCUCGCAUCGAUGAAGAACGCAGCGAAAUGCGAUAAGUAAUGUGAAUUGCAGAAUUCAGUGAAUCAUCGAAUCUUUGAACGCAUCUUGCGCUCCUUGGUAUUCCGAGGAGCAUGCCUGUUUGAGUGUCAUUAAAUUCUGUCAAAACAUGCACUUGAGUGUGUUUUGGAUUGUGGGAGUGUCUGCUGGCUUUAUAUGAGUCAGCUCUCCUGAAAGACAUUAGCUUUGGAGGGAUGUGCCAAGUCACUUCUGCCUUUCCAUUGGUGUGAUAGAUGAAUAAACUUAUCUACGCCAGGAAAGCAGGUUGCAGGUGAUGCACUGUGAUCUCUCUGCUCUCUAAUUGACAUUUG